AUCCUGGGCGUAAGGGAGCGUAGGCGGCGUGGUAAGUCAGGUGUGAAAUCCCGGGGCUCAACCCCGGAACUGCACCCGAUACUGCCGUGCUUGAGGGUUGGAGAGGUAGCUGGAAUUCUCGGUGUAGCAGUGAAAUGCGUGGAUAUCGAGAGGAACACUCGUGGCGAAGGCGAGCUACUGGACAACAUCUGACGCUGAGGCUCGAAGGCCAGGGGAGCAAAAGGGAUUAGAUACCCCUGUAGUCCUGGCAGUAAACGGUGUGCGCUUGGUGUGAGGGGAUUCGACCCCCCUUGUGCCGGAGCUAACGCGUUAAGCGCACCGCCUGGGAAGUACGGCCGCAAGGCUAAAACUCAAAGAAAUUGACGGGGACCCGCACAAGCGGUGGAGUAUGUGGCUUAAUUCGAUGCAACGCGAAGAACCUUACCAAGGCUUGACAUGCAUCUCUAAGCGCGUGAAAGCGCGUGACUCUUCGGAGGAUUUGCACAGGUGCUGCAUGGCCGUCGUCAGCUCGUGUCGUGAGAUGUUGGGUUAAGUCCCGCAACGAGCGCAACCCCUGUGAACAGUUGCCAGCACGUCAAGGUGGGGACUCUGUUCAGACUGCCCAGAUCAACUGGGAGGAAGGUGGGGACGACGUC
rnacentral:rRNA from 1 species